CACUAUAAAUAUGAAAAAUUCGAUGAAAAUGCAAUAGAAAAAUUACAAGGAGAAACAAAAUUUAUUCGUUCAUUUCUGACGUUAUCAUCAUCGUCUGCUAAAUUCCUCCGCCUCCAGCCCCCGCCUCCAGCCUCGGUUUCUUCUUUGUUUAGGUUCUGGGUUAAUUAUUUCAAGGUUCUUGAAAUUCAACUACUAGAUGGGUUCUCUUGUAUGCUGUCGAUUACUACUACGGAGGAUAAGGAUGCGGGAUUAAAUGCAAGAAUGGCAGUGGAGACAUUGAUGUUGGUUUGAAACUUGUGAGGGGAAUAGCCAAGACGACUCCUAUCAUUGGAGAUUCUCAGGGCUCUUUCCUUCGGUUAACAACUUAAUGUCGAUGGAGAUGAUCUUGCACUAGUUUUCAUGUCUACUCGUUGAUUUGGAGUGUGAACCUUCUGCACCAGUUUUCAUGUCCAUCGGGUUCAAGUAGUUCGAGGUGUGAGCUCGAAGAAAUCAGCGACCAUCUUUAUUGUAAAUAAGAAUCAAGUGUGUUUGGUACUUCGGCCUUUUUGUACUAUGUGAAAAAUUAUUGCCUACUCCAACGGGUCUGGCUUGUUUCUUAACCAAAGAAAUGAAAAUUUUGAUUCAAAACCAA